rnacentral:rRNA from 1 species
UACGUAGGGGGCGAGCGUUGUCCGGAUUCAUUGGGCGUAAAGAGCUCGUAGGCGGUUCAGUAAGUCGGGUGUGAAAUCUCCGUGCUCAACACGGAGCGGCCACCUGAUACUGCUGUGACUCGAGUCCGGUAGGGGAGUGUGGAAUUCCACGUGUAGCGGUGGAAAUGACGUAGAGAUGUGGAGGAACACCAAGUGGCCGAAGGG